AUUGAACGCUGGCGGUAGGCCUAACACAUGCAAGUCGAACGGUAACAGGAUGAAGCUUGCCUCUUUGCUGACGAGUGGCGGACGGGGGAGAAAUGUCUGGGAAACUGCAUGUUGGAGGGGGAUAACAACUGGAAACGGUAGCUAAUACCGCACAAUGUCGCAAGACCAAAGAGGGGGAACUUCGGGCCCCUUGCCAUCGGGAGUGACCAGAUGGGAUUAGCUAGUAGGUGGGGUAACGGCUCACCCAGGCGACGAUCCCUAGCUGGUCUGAGAGGAUGACCAGCCACACUGGAACUGAGACACGGUCCAGACUCCUACGGGAGGCAGCAGUGGGGAAUAUUGCACAAUGGGCGCAAGCCUGAUGCAGCUAUGCCGCGUGUAUGAAGAAGGCCUUCGGGUUGUAAAGUACUUUCAUCGGGGAGGAAAAGAAUAAAGUUAAUACCUUUGCUCAUUGACGUUACCCGCAGAAUAAGCACCGGCUAACUCCGUG
rnacentral:rRNA from 1 species